CAGGGUGGUAGAAUUUCCAGUGUAGCGGUGAAAUGCGUAGAUAUUGGAAGGAAUACCAGUGGCGAAGGCGGCCACCUGGUCAGAGACUGACGCUGAGGUACGAAAGCGUGGGGAGCAAACAGGAUUAAAUACCCUGGUAGUCCACGCCGUAAACGAUGUCAACUAGUUGUUCGUGUCAUUAAGACGUGAGUAACGCAGCUAACGCACUAAGUUGACCGCCUGGGGAGUACGGCCGCAAGGUUAAAACUCAAAUGAAUUGACGGGGGCCCGCACAAGCGGUGGAGCAUGUGGUUUAAUUCGAUGCAACGCGAAGAACCUUACCAUCCCUUGACAUCCAGUGAAUUUUCCAGAGAUGGAUUAGUGCCUUCGGGAACACUGAGACAGGUGCUGCAUGGCUGUCGUCAGCUCGUGUUGUGAGAUGUUGGGUUAAGUCCCGCAACGAGCGCAACCCUUAUCCUUAGUUGCCAGCACGUAAUGGUGGGAACUCUGGGGAGACUGCCGGUGAUAAACCGGAGGAAGGUGGGGACGACGUCAAGUCAUCAUGGCCCUUACGGGAUGGGCUACACACGUGCUACAAUGGCGCAUACAAAGGGCAGCAAGCCAGCGAUGGUUAGCGAAUCUUAAUAAGACUCU
rnacentral:rRNA from 1 species